UAUUGGUCAAUGGGCGUAAGCCUGAACCAGCCAAGUCGCGUGAGGGAUGAAGGAUCUAUGGUNUGUAAACCUCUUUUAUAAGGGANNCCNNNGNGUGACGUGUCCUGUUUUGUAUGUACCUUAUGAAUAANNNANGNCUAACUCCGUGCCAGCAGCCGCGGUAAUACGGAGGAUCCGAGCGUUAUCCGGAUUUAUUGGGUUUAAAGGGUGCGUAGGCGGCCUUUUAAGUCAGCGGUGAAAGUCUGUGGCUCAACCAUAGAAUUGCCGUUGAAACUGGGGGGCUUGAGUAUGUGUGAGGCAGGCGGAAUGCGUGGUGUAGCGGUGAAAUGCAUAGAUAUCACGCAGAACCCCGAUUGCGAAGGCAGCCUGCCAAGCCAUGACUGACGCUGAUGCACGAAAGCGUGGGGAUCG
rnacentral:rRNA from 1 species